UACGGAGGAUCCAAGCGUUAUCCGGAUUCAUUGGGUUUAAAGGGUGCGUAGGCGGAUCUGUAAGUCAGUGGUGAAAGCCAACAGCUCAACUGUUGAACUGCCAUUGAUACUGCAAGUCUUGAGUACAUUUGAUGUGGGCGGAAUGUGUCAUGUAGCGGUGAAAUGCUUAGAUAUGACACAGAACACCGAUUGCGAAGGCAGCUCACAAAACUGUAACUGACGCUGGAGGCAACGACAGCGUGGGGAUCAAACAGG
rnacentral:rRNA from 1 species